GACGAACGCUGGCGGCGUGCUUAACACAUGCAAGUCGAACGGAAAGGCCCUGCUUGCAGGGUACUCGAGUGGCGAACGGGUGAGUAACACGUGGGUGAUCUGCCCUGCACUUCGGGAUAAGCCUGGGAAACUGGGUCUAAUACCGGGUAGGAGCCAUUUUUAGUGUGAUGGUUGGAAAGUUUUUUCGGUGUAGGAUGAGCUCGCGGCCUAUCAGCUUGUUGGUGGGGUAAUGGCCUACCAAGGCGGCGACGGGUAGCCGGCCUGAGAGGGUGGACGGCCACAUUGGGACUGAGAUACGGCCCAGACUCCUACGGGAGGCAGCAGGGGGGAAUAUUGCACAAUGGGCGCAAGCCUGAUGCAGCGACGCCGCGUGGGGGAUGACGGCCUUCGGGUUGUAAACUCCUUUCGCUAGGGACGAAGCUUUUUGUGACGGUACCUAGAGAAGAAGCACCGGCUAACUACGUG
rnacentral:rRNA from 1 species